rnacentral:rRNA from 1 species
AGAGUUUGAUCCUGGCUCAGAGCGAACGCUGGCGGCAGGCUUAACACAUGCAAGUCGAGCGGGUGUAGCAAUACAUCAGCGGCAGACGGGUGAGUAACGCGUGGGAACGUACCUUUUGGUUCGGAACAACACAGGGAAACUUGUGCUAAUACCGGAUAAGCCCUUACGGGGAAAGAUUUAUCGCCGAAAGAUCGGCCCGCGUCUGAUUAGCUAGUUGGUGAGGUAAUGGCUCACCAAGGCGACGAUCAGUAGCUGAUCUGAGAGGAUGAUCAGCCACAUUGGGACUGAGACACGGCCCAAACUCCUACGGGAGGCAGCAGUGGGGAAUAUUGGACAAUGGGCGCAAGCCUGAUCCAGCCAUGCCGCGUGAGUGAUGAAGGCCCUAGGGUUGUAAAGCUCUUUUGUGCGGGAAGAUAAUGACGUACCGCAAGAAUAGCCCCGU